AGUCCAGGAAGUAGCCAAUGGAGCAGCAGUAUUUGUUGGUCUCUUCAGAGACCCGUACGAGUGGUCAGACCUGACUGACUCCUCACUAAGGUACUGGAGGGAAUCCCAACUGGUAAAUACAGAAUAUCAUCAAAACUGUGUUGCAAUGCUGAAGAAUGAAUCUGGCAAAUGGGGAGACAGGAAAUGCACAGAAGUUCAUCCUUUCCUCUGCAAAUGCAUACAAACUAAACUGCAGUUCAUAAAACUGAGGAUCAGCCUGCAGGACUCAAGUUUGGAUCUGAAUGACCCUGCAGUGCAAAACAGCAUCUUGGAACAAAUGAAGCAAAGGCUGGGUGGAAAUGUAAAUGGUGUCAACAAUCUUAACUGGAAAAAACACUCAGAUGGAAAGGUUUUCAUCAAGGAAACAGAGGAACACAACCAAUGAGACGAAUACAGCAGGACUGCUAAAAUUCUGACUUAAAGAUGUAAAACCCCACCAACCAGGAUGGUAAAAAAACUUUUAGCUGUUGCUGAUUAAACUUUUUUCAAUAGGAAUGCUUAGGCGCUAAUAUGAUGACUAUCUUGAAUAACUCUGUGAGUCAUUAUGCUUUUUAAUUUAGCCUGCCUCUUAUUUUUUAGCAAAUUCAGAAAUCCAACCAUAUCAUCUAUCAUCUAUCAUUAAUAUGUCCUGCUUUCAUCCUGAGAAUUUCAUCUUUCAUUUGAUUUAGAGCCUCCUGUGUAGAAAAGAUACACAUUAACAUGUGCACCAUUAAGACUAAGAUUACUUUCAGUCGUCAUCAUAAUGAACUGGUCCACAGGAAAAAACCCAGUUACAACAGGAUUCAGCACUAACAUGGUAAAUAUGAAAUAAAUUAGCAAUGAUAUGUAUCCAGUAAGCUUUAACAACAAAAAAUGUAAGUCCUUCAUGUAUAUUAGUUUUACUUCAAACCAAUAGUACUCAAAAGGAACUGAAGAGUAUUUCAAGAACAUCUAGAGAAAAUGAAUGAAGAGCAAAUGCUGGCACCUCUGAAGUUUAGUGUAUGGAGACCAACACCAGACAUUGUUGAACUUCCUUCAGGUUAAGCAACUGUUCCUUUCUUUUUUAUGCAUUUUAAUGGGAAAGGAACAUGUUCAUCCCUUUACACAACACAAGAAAAGUGAAUAAACUCUCAAUUGUUGCAGCUAUUACAGUGUUUCAAACUGCCAGCAGCCAUAUUGGAUUUUGAUGAAGGGGUUGAUGAGAUGACCUCUGAGUUUAAUUUUCCUGCUAGGAUUUUUUAGUUGGAUGUUUUGCUACAAUCAUGCAUUUAUUUUUAUUCUUCCGCUUUUUUUGUGUGGGAAUAAGUCCAGCUCCAGUUUUGGUAUUGUUUCAAAACACCUUCACAGUGUCUUAGAAAACUUUAGAAUUUAUAUUAAUGCCAGUAUAAAGAUAUGUAAUCUGUAAUAAUUUAAGAAGUACAGCAUUAUUGUAUGACAUGAAACGGUCAGCAGGUUUUUAUAUUGAUAAAUUGUUUUAAGGAAAUUUUUUGCCAACUAUUUGCCUUUUAGAUACAUGACUAGCUAAGUUCACAUGCUAUCUGUAUUUUUUUCAAACUAAAAGUUAAUAAAGUAACUUGUCUGGCCUUGUCUUA